rnacentral:snRNA from 1 species
AGAUGUGAGUGCCAUCUGGCUGUGACAUCUGUCACCGUAUUGAUUUUGCCGAUCUGGUUUGGUUAGACAGGUGUCCUCUUCCUCCCUCACCACUUCAAAACAACCUUCCAUAAACAGAGCAGGACUAUUCUUCAGUCAAGGGCAUAUAGGUGGCUAUUCUCCCCUGCCAGAACCUUCAAACAAGCUCUUAAAGCAGGUAAAUUCAGACUGAGUGUGGUAGCAUGCACCUGUAACUCCAGCAGGUGGGAGGAAGAAGCAAGGAGGAUCUGAAUCCAGGUCAGUCUGAGCUU